rnacentral:rRNA from 1 species
GCUCCAAUAGCGUAUAUUAAAGUUGUUGCAGUUAAAAAGCUCGUAGUUGAACCUUGGCGUCAGCUAGGCGGGACUGAGCAAUCAGGGCCGUCGGGCGGCGCCGUAGAGGAGCGAACGGGCAACCGCCUCGCUCCGUGUUACUGUGAAGAAAUUAGAGUGUUUAAAGCAGGCAGCCGCUUGAAUACAUCAGCAUGGAAUAA